AGAGGUAUGGUUCAGUAGUAAAACACAUGUUUGCAUACAAAAGGUACCAGGUUCAAUCCCUGGCAUCUCCA